rnacentral:rRNA from 1 species
AGGUUAAGUGAAUAAGGGCGCACGGUGGAUGCCUUGGCACUAGGAGCCGAUGAAGGACGGGACUAACACCGAUAUGCUUUGGGGAGCUGUAAGUAAGCUAUGAUCCAGAGAUUUCCGAAUGGGGGAACCCAGCAUCUUUUAUAGGAUGUUACACAGUUGUGAAUACAUAGCAGCUGUGAGGUAGACGCAGAGAACUGAAACAUCUAAGUACCUGCAGGAAGAGAAAGAAAAUUCGAUUCCCUGAGUAGCGGCGAGCGAAACGGGAAAAGCCCAAACCAACAAGCUUGCUUGUUGGGGUUGUAGGACUCCGAUAUGGUAGUUGAAACAGAUAGUCGAAAUACUUGGAAAAGUAUGUCAAAGAGGGUAAAAACCCCGUAGAUGAAAUCUGGCUCACACCUAGGAGGAUCCUGAGUACGGCGGAACACGAGGAAUUCCGUCGGAAUCCGGGAGGACCAUCUCCCAAGGCUAAAUACUCCCUAGUGACCGAUAGUGAACCAGUACCGUGAGGGAAAGGUGAAAAGCACCCCGGAAGGGGAGUGAAAUAGAUCCUGAAACCGUGUGCCUACAACAAGUUAGAGCCCGUUAAUGGGUGAUAGCGUGCCUUUUGUAGAAUGAACCGGCGAGUUACGAUAGCAUGCGAGGUUAAGUUGAAGAGACGGAGCCGCAGCGAAAGCGAGUCUGAAUAGGGCGAAUGAGUAUGUUGUCGUAGACCCGAAACCAUGUGAUCUACCCAUGUCCAGGUUGAAGGUGCGGUAAAACGCACUGGAGGACCGAACCCACGUACGUUGAAAAGUGCGGGGAUGAGGUGUGGGUAGCGGAGAAAUUCCAAACGAACUUGGAGAUAGCUGGUUCUCUCCGAAAUAGCUUUAGGGCUAGCCUCGGAAUUGAGAAUGAUGGAGGUAGAGCACUGUUUGGACUAGGGGCCCAUCUCGGGUUACCGAAUUCAGAUAAACUCCGAAUGCCAUUCAUUCAUAUCCGGGAGUCAGACUGUGAGUGAUAAGAUCCAUAGUCGAAAGGGAAACAGCCCAGACCACCAGCUAAGGUCCCCAAAUAACUAUUAAGUGGAAAAGGAUGUGGGGUUGCACAGACAACUAGGAUGUUGGCUUAGAAGCAGCCACCAUUUAAAGAGUGCGUAAUAGCUCACUAGUCGAGUGACCCUGCGCCGAAAAUGUACCGGGGCUAAAUAGUUUACCGAAGCUGUGGAGUGCACCGUAAGGUGCAUUGGUAGGAGAGCGUUCUAAGGGCGUUGAAGGUAGAUCGUGAGGACUACUGGAGCGCUUAGAAGUGAGAAUGCCGGUAUGAGUAGCGAAAGACAGGUGAGAAUCCUGUCCACCGUAUGACUAAGGUUUCCUGGGGAAGGCUCGUCCGCCCAGGGUUAGUCGGGACCUAAGCCGAGGCCGACAGGCGUAGGCGAUGGACAACAGGUUGAUAUUCCUGUACCCGUUGUUUUUGUUUGAGCAAUGGAGGGACGCAGGAGGCUAAGAAGUGCAGACUGAUGGAUAUGUCUGUUCAAGCAGUGAGUCUUAGUGGGAGUCAAAUGCUUCUACUUUCAAGGACAAGCUGUGAUGAGGAGGGAAAUAAUAGUACCGAAGCUUCUGAUGUCACACUGCCAAGAAAAGCUUCUAGUGAGAAAACAAUGGCCCGUACCGCAAACCGACACAGGUAGUCGAGGAGAGCAUCCUAAGGUGAGCGAGAGAACUCUCGUUAAGGAACUCGGCAAAAUGACCCCGUAACUUCGGGAGAAGGGGUGCUGCUCUAACGAGCAGCCGCAGUGAAUAGGCCCAAGCGACUGUUUAUCAAAAACACAGGUCUCUGCAAAAUCGAAAGAUGACGUAUAGGGGCUGACGCCUGCCCGGUGCUGGAA